rnacentral:rRNA from 1 species
AUUCCAGCUCCAAUAGGGUAUAUUUAAGUUGUUGCAGUUAAAAAGCUCGUAGUUGGAUUUCGGGUGGGUACCGCCGGUCUCCCACUGGGUAUGUACUGGCGUGGCCCGCCUUGCUGUCGGGGACAAUCUCCUGGGCUUUACUGUCCGGGAAUUGGAGUCGACGAUGUUACUUUGAGUAAAUUAGAGUGUUCAAAGCAAGCCUACGCUCUGAAUAUAAUAGCAUGGGAUAACACGACAGGACUCUGGCCUAUCGUGUUGGUCUGUAGGACCGGAGUAAUGAUUAAGAGGGACAGUCGGGGGCAUUCGUAUUCCAUUGUCAGAGGUGAAAUUCUUGGAUUUAUGGAAGACGAACAUCUGCGAAAGCAUUUGUCAAGGAUGUUUUCAUCG